GACAACAUGCCAGAGUGGUUAAUGGGUUAGACUUGAAUUUCAUGUUCAUGUCAUCUAAUGUCUUCGGACGCGUAGGUUCGAUCCCUACUGUUGUCG
rnacentral:tRNA from 1 species